GACCUAAAUCAGUGGCAUGGGCUACUGACACGGUUUCAAAUCAUGAGACAUAGAAAACCCGUCAUUCAGGGCAUGUCUCAUGUUGUAGGGGGAAACUCCUAUAGGGGCCGCAAGGCCUU
rnacentral:sRNA from 1 species